CCUACGGGAGGCUGCAGUGGGGAAUAUUGCACAAUGGGCGCAAGCCUGAUGCAGCCAUGCCGCGUGUGUGAAGAAGGCCUUCGGGUUGUAAAGCACUUUCAGCGGGGAGGAAGGCGGUGAGGUUAAUAACCUCAUCGAUUGACGUUACCCGCAGAAGAAGCACCGGCUAACUCCGUGCCAGCAGCCGCGGUAAUACGGAGGGUGCAAGCGUUAAUCGGAAUUACUGGGCGUAAAGCGCACGCAGGCGGUCUGUCAAGUCGGAUGUGAAAUCCCCGGGCUCAACCUGGGAACUGCAUUCGAAACUGGCAGGCUAGAGUCUUGUAGAGGGGGGUAGAAUUCCAGGUGUAGCGGUGAAAUGCGUAGAGAUCUGGAGGAAUACCGGUGGCGAAGGCGGCCCCUGGACAAAGACUGACGCUCAGGUGCGAAAGCGUGGGGAGCAAACAGGAUUAGAUACCCUUGUAGUC
rnacentral:rRNA from 1 species